UUUAUGGAAAAGAUAAGCUCAAAUAUACCGCAAAACAUCUCUUUUUCAGAUAAAAAGUUAUGAUGCAUGCAAGUUUGGAACAAUACAAUGGUGGGAUAGAGUCAUGCAAGUUUAAAACAACACAAGGUGAGCAAUUCCAGAUCUGAUUGGAUGGGGCCAAAGUGUUUAGGAAAUAAGGAGUUAGAGGCUGUGGGGGUUGAUGUAGAAAAUAACAGGACGAGUUUCCCAAGCAUCCAUGUGUGAAGUUUCAACCCUCCUCCAGCUCUUGAGGUGAG